rnacentral:rRNA from 1 species
UAGGGAAUAUUGGUCAUGGGCGAAAGCCUGAACCCGCAACGCCGCGUGUGCGAUGAAGGCCUUCGGGUCGUAAAGCACUUUUUGGAGGGAUGAGGAAGGACAGUACCUCCAGAAUAAGCCUCGGCUAACUACGUGCCAGCAGCCGCGGUAACACGUAGGAGGCAAGCGUUAUUCGGAUUUACUGGGCGUAAAGCGCGUGCAGGCGGUUCGGAAAGUUGGAUGUGAAAGCCCCUGGCUCAACUGGGAGAGGUCGUUCGAUACUUCCGGACUGGAGAGUGGGAGAGGGAGGUGGAAUUCCGGGUGUAGUGGUGAAAUGCGUAGAUAUCCGGAGGAACACCAGUGGCGAAAGCGGCCUCCUGGCCCAUUUCUGACGCUCAGACGCGAAAGCUAGGGUAGCAAACG